rnacentral:rRNA from 1 species
CAGUAGCCGCGGUAAUACAGAGGGUGCGAGCGUUAAUCGGAUUUACUGGGCGUAAAGCGUGCGUAGGCGGCUUCUUAAGUCGGAUGUGAAAUCCCUGAGCUUAACUUAGAAAUUGCAUUCGAUACUGGGAAGCUAGAGUAUGGGAGAGGAUGGUAGAAUUCCAGGUGUAGCGGUGAAAUGCGUAGAGAUCUGGAGGAAUACCGAUGGCGAAGGCAGCCAUCUGGCCUAAUACUGACGCUCAUGCACGAAAGCGUGGGGAGCAAACAGGAUUAGAUACCCCGGUAGUCCCUGUCUCUUAUAC